rnacentral:rRNA from 1 species
UACGUAGGGAGCAAGCGUUGUCCGGAUUUACUGGGUGUAAGGGGUGCGUAGGCGGCUUUGCAAGUCAGAAGUGAAAUCUAUGGGCUUAACCCAUAAACUGCUUUUGAAACUGCAGGGCUUGAGUGAAGUAGAGGUAGGCGGAAUUCCCGGUGUAGCGGUGAAAUGCGUAGAGAUCGGGAGGAACACCAGUGGCGAAGGCGGCCUACUGGGCUUUAACUGACGCUGAGGCACGAAAGCGUGGGUAGCAAACAGG